rnacentral:rRNA from 1 species
GAUGAACGCUAGCGGGAGGCCUAACACAUGCAAGCCGAGCGGGAUUUGUUGGUUAGCUUGCUAACUAACAAUGAGAGCGGCGUACGGGUGCGUAGCACGUGUGCAACCUGCCUUUAUCUGGGGGAUAGCCUUUCGAAAGGAAGAUUAAUACCCCAUAACAUAUUGAUUGGCAUCAGUUAAUAUUGAAAGCUCCGGCGGAUAGAGAUGGGCACGCGUAAGAUUAGCUAGUUGGUGAGGUAACGGCUCACCAAGGCUGCGAUCUUUAGGGGGCCUGAGAGGGUGAUCCCCCACACUGGUACUGAGACACGGACCAGACUCCUACGGGAGGCAGCAGUGAGGAAUAUUGGACAAGGGGUGAGAGCCUGAUCCAGCCAUCCCGCGUGAAGGACUAAGGACCUAUGGUUUGUAGACUUCUUUUAUACAGGGAUAAACCUACUCUCGUGAGGGUAGCUGAAGGUACUGUAUGAAUAAGCACCGGCUAACUCCGUG